rnacentral:rRNA from 1 species
GGGGAGUACGGCCGCAAGGUUAAAACUCAAAUGAAUUGACGGGGGCCCGCACAAGCGGUGGAGCAUGUGGUUUAAUUCGAUGCAACGCGAAGAACCUUACCUGGUCUUGACAUCCACAGAAGAAUCCAGAGAUGGAUUUGUGCCUUCGGGAACUGUGAGACAGGUGCUGCAUGGCUGUCGUCAGCUCGUGUUGUGAAAUGUUGGGUUAAGUCCCGCAACGAGCGCAACCCUUAUCCUUUGUUGCCAGCGAUUAGGUCGGGAACUCAAAGGAGACUGCCAGUGAUAAACUGGAGGAAGGUGGGGAUGACGUCAAGUCAUCAUGGCCCUUACGACCAGGGCUACACACGUGCUACAAUGGCGUAUACAAAGAGAAGCGACCUCGCGAGAGCAAGCGGACCUCAUAAAGUGCGUCGUAGUCCGGAUUGGAGUCUGCAACUCGACUCCAUGAAGUCG